rnacentral:rRNA from 1 species
GACGAACGCUGGCGGCGUGCUUAACACAUGCAAGUCGAACGAAGUGGCGAACGGGUGAGUAACGCGUAAUCAACCUGCCCUUCAGAGGGGGACAAAAGUUGGAAACGACUGCUAAUACCGCAUACUGAAGGAGGGGAGUGCGUAGGAUUAGUUAGUUGGAGGGGUAACGGCCCACCAAGGCGAUGCUAAGGAGCCGGUCUGAGAGGAGGAACGGCCACCUGUGGACUGUGACACGGCCCAGACUCCUACGGGAGUCAGCAGUGGGGAAUCUUCCGCAAUGGACGAAAGUCUGACGGAGCAACGCCGCGUGAGUGAUGACGGCCUUCGGGUUGUAAAGCUCUGUUAAUCGGGACGCGGUACCGGAAUAGAAAGCCACGGCUAACUACGUGCCAGCAGCCGCGGUAAUAC